GACGAACGCUGGCGGCGUGCCUAAUACAUGCAAGUUGAGCGCUUAAGGUUGGUACUUGUACCAACUGGAUGAGCAGCGGACGGGUGAGUAACGCGUGGGGAAUCUGCCUUUGAGCGGGGGACAACAUUUGGAAACGAAUGCUAAUACCGCAUAAAAACUUUAAACACAAGUUUUAAGUUUGAAAGAUGCAAUUGCACCACUCAAAGAUGAUCCCGCGUUGUAUUAGCUAGUUGGUGAGGUAAAGGCUCACCAAGGCGAUGAUACAUAGCCGACCUGAGAGGGUGAUCGGCCACAUUGGGACUGAGACACGGCCCAAACUCCUACGGGAGGCAGCAGUAGGGAAUCUUCGGCAAUGGACGAAAGUCUGACCGAGCAACGCCGCGUGAGUGAAGAAGGGUUUCGGAUCGUAAAACUCUGUUGGUAGAGAAGAACGUUGGUGAGAGUGGAAAGCUCAUCAAGUGACGGUAACUACCCAGAAAGGGACGGCUAACUACGUG
rnacentral:rRNA from 1 species